UACGUAGGGACCAAGCGUUGUUCGGAUUUACUGGGCGUAAAGGGCGCGUAGGCGGCGUGACAAGUCACUUGUGAAAUCUCCGGGCUUAACUCGGAACUGCCAAGUGAUACUGUCGUGCUAGAGUGCAGAAGGGGCAAUCGGAAUUCUUGGUGUAGCGGUGAAAUGCGUAGAUAUCAAGAGGAACACCUGAGGUGAAGACGGGUUGCUGGGCUGACACUGACGCUGAAGCGCGAAAGCGUGGGGAGCGAUCCGG
rnacentral:rRNA from 1 species